UGGGGAAUCUUCCGCAAUGGACGAAAGUCUGACGGAGCAACGCCGCGUGAGUGAUGACGGUCUUCGGAUUGUAAAGCUCUGUUAAUCGGGACGAAUGGUUUGUGUGCAAAUAGUGCAUAGACAUGACGGUACCGGAAUAGAAAGCCACGGCUAACUACGUGCCAGCAGCCGCGGUAAUACGUAGGUGGCAAGCGUUGUCCGGAAUUAUUGGGCGUAAAGCGCGCGCAGGCGGACUAGCCAGUCAGUCUUAAAAGUUCGGGGCUUAACCCCGUGAUGGGAUUGAAACUACUAGUCUAGAGUAUCGGAGAGGAAAGUGGAAUUCCUAGUGUAGCGGUGAAAUGCGUAGAUAUUAGGAAGAACACCAGUGGCGAAGGCGACUUUCUGGACGAACACUGACGCUGAGGCGCGAAAGCCAGGGAGCGAACGGG
rnacentral:rRNA from 1 species